rnacentral:SRP_RNA from 1 species
GCCGGGUGUGGUGGCUCACGCCUAUAAUUCUAGCACUUUGGGAGGCCGAGGUGGGCAGAUCAUGUGGUCAGGAGAUCGAGACCAUCCUGGCUACCCGGGUAAACCCCCGCCUCUACUAAAAAACAUACAAAAAACUAGCCGGGCGAGGUGGCCUGUAGNNNNNNNNNNCUACAGGCCACCUCGCCCGGCUAGUUUUUUGUAUGUUUUUUAGUAGAGGCGGGGGUUUACCCGGUUAGCCAGGAUGGUCUCGAUCUCCUGACCUCAUGAUCCGCCCGUCUU